rnacentral:rRNA from 1 species
UGGGGAAUAUUGGACAAUGGUCGCAAGCCUGAUCCAGCCAUGCCGCAUGAGUGCAGAAGGCCUUUGGGUUGUAAAGCUCUUUUAGUGAGGAAGAUAAUGACGGUACUCACAGAAGAAGUCCUGGCUAACUCCGUGCCAGCAGCGGCGGUAAUACGGAGAGGGCUAGCGUUAUUCGGAAUUAUUGGGCGUAAAGGGCGCGUAGGCUGGUUAAUAAGUUAAAAGUGAAAUCCCGAGGCUUAACCUUGGAAUUGCUUUUAAAACUAUUAAUCUAGAGAUUGAAAGAGGAUAGAGGAAUUCCUGAUGUAGAGGUAAAAUUCGUAAAUAUUAGGAGGAACACCGGUGGCGAAGGCGUCUAUCUGGUUCAAAUCUGACGCUGAAGCGCGAAGGCGUGGGGAGCAAACA